UUAAUACUCCCUCCGUCCCAAAAUUCUUGUCUUACUUUUGUCUAAAUACGGAUGUAUCAAGUGAUGUUUUAGCAUUAGGUACAUCCGUAUCUAGACAAAACUAAGACAAGAAUUUUGGGACGGAGGGAGUAUAUC
rfam:Triticum aestivum genome assembly, contig: Triticum_aestivum_CS42_TGACv1_scaffold_321266_4BL